GGUGUUGGUGGAGGAAUCCUGUGUAUCCUGAGACCAUGGCAUGCAUGCUUCAUUUACCAUGCUGAGCUUUGUAUUCAGCAGCAUCAGAUCCUGAAUGCUGUUGUGCACCUGGAAAAGUUCUGUUCUGAAGCACUGGAGAUACUUUAUUCUGCUAUGUCCAGUAUAAAUAUGUUGACAAAUCCACCUGGGCCUUCUUGUGUUUGUUUUAACCAGCCUACAAAAUAUACUGUGAAAACAGAUCAACACAAAUCUGUUCAGAUAUUU